UUGCAUCGAUGAAGAACGCAGCGAAAUGCGAUAAGUAAUGUGAAUUGCAGAAUUCAGUGAAUCAUCGAAUCUUUGAACGCACAUUGCGCCCCCUGGCAUUCCGGGGGGCAUGCCUGUUCGAGCGUCAUUACACCACUCAAGCCUGGCUUGGUAUUGAGCGCCGCGGCCUGCCCGCGCGCUCCAAUGUCUCCGGCUGAGCCGUCCGUCUCUAAGCGUUGUGAAUAGCGAUCGCUUGCGAGGCCCGGGCGGUUCGACGCCGUUAAACCCCCCAUUUUCUAUGGUUGACCUCGGAUCAGGUAGGGAUACCCG
rnacentral:rRNA from 1 species